AUGUGAAACUUUGAUCCGAAUAUAUAGUGGAAAGGUUCCAAAGAGUCUAUGCACCACCUGGACAAGCGAUAGGUCUAUAGUAGUUUUGGGAUAGGUCCAUGGUCCAUGUAAGAACUCAAAGUCUCAAUGUUACUUAUUGUUAUUCAAAUUACACAAUCUAUUGAAAACAAUAGCUUUAUAACGAGCCCUAGCAGCAAGCGUGUGUACGUUCGAACCUGUCUCGGCAGAAAGAUGUAUUAGUGUUACCACGAUGGAAUCCAACUCACCUUAUAAUCAAAGACUAACGGAAAUGGAAACAAAGGUAAAUGACACCGACGUCAAUAAAAAUGAAACUCCGAAGAAGCUAGACGGUACACCUGACAGCGAUAUAGACCUAACACAAGAGGUUAUACUCUGCCUAACAAAUAUCAAUAUGACUCGAUUCAAAACACCGUCACCGCGUUGGAAAACGGUUGCCAAAAUGACAAAUAACGAGAACGUCGACUGGCUAACGAGGCUAAACGAAGUAUCACUAAUAAUUUGUGAUGAGGUCAUUACUAUGUCAACACACCCAGCAACUUCUUCACCAUCAGAGCAAAUUAGUAUCACCCCGAUUACAAAGUGUCGAACGUCUAUCAAAGGAAAGGAAACUUUGAGUAAAAGUUUGAAAAUAAAUUCUAGAAGAAAAAAUAAACAGAAAAUUCGUAGAAAAUCGACAGACUCAGUGAAUAGUAACACAAGUGAAACGACAAGAAAGCAAAGUAGAAAUUUUGGUGAAGAAGUUGACGAAUUCUACAUUGAUGACAGUUUCCCGCGUUUCCUUGACGACGAACAUGUGGACCAUGGUGCUUUACAACUUCUGGGUAACGUAGCACUUGAAAAUAGCGAUGACCAGACUGAGGGGGCGGCAGAUGACGAAAAAUCCAAUACUUUGCUCGAAGAUUUCGACAAAAGACUAAAAUCUGUCGAUAAGGGAAUGCAAGAGCGAAUAGCACGGUCACUACCAUCUGUAAAUAACCAAUGUAUAUGCCACGAGAAACCAUUGAUGAAAGAUGUGGCAGUUCAGGUGAUGUCUGAGAUUAUGGAAACCAAGCAAAUGGAGGAAAUGGCUGUAGAAAAUUCAUCAGAAACUGGUGAGAAUAUCAUUGUAAGAGUCGCAGGGUUACCCAUGGUGAACUCUGCCAUUGGUCAAGUGUCUAGCAUGUAUACUAAGACUAAAGAGUGGAAUGGAUUGGUCAAAUAUACACUGGAAACUGCAGAGAAGUCUGUUGCGACCAUCGCUGGCACCGCUAUGCCUGUAGUCAAUAAGUUGGAGAAACCAAUCAACUUGGCCAAUUACUAUGCCUGUACUACAAUGGAUAAAUUGGAGGAAGCAUGUCCCAUCAUUAACCAACCAACUGACAAGAUUGUUAGCAGUGUGGUUGAUGGCACAAAGACUGCCUGGGAUAAUACUAAGAAAGCUGGCAGUGAUAAAAUAAACUACAUGAUGCAGAAUAGAGUGGUACAAGCUUUCACUGGCACUAUGGAUGCAACAUUGUCCCUGUCAGAAAAGGUUGUGGACUCGUACUUGCCACCAGAACCAACUGAAAAUGAGGAGUAUGAAAAAGAGAAAGCAACUGAAGAUGCAGCUAACUCUGAAAAGGAGAUUAUUCCUGAUGCUGAGGAAGUUGGUGGGGAGUCGGCAGUUGCACGCGUUGUUAAUUUGUCUGGUAAAGUACGCCAUCGUGUGUAUGCACGUGCCAUGUCAAAGUUGCGAAAUGCCCAGAAGCGUAGUCGGGAAACUUUGGAUAACCUGAAAUUCACUGUUAACCUGAUUGACUAUGCCAAGGAAAACAUUGACUCUACAAAUCAGAAAGUAAAGGAUCAAGUAACGAGUGCCCAAGAUAAACUGUGGAGUACAUGGAAUGAUUGGACAACUGAAGAUGGUGAACAGUCAUCUAUUGCAGAUGAACAGGAACAAGAACAAAAAACAUUGGCUGUUGCCCGUGAUUUGGCAAAAAGAUUGAAAAUUGCAUGUGGUAAAGUAACUAGUGCUAGUCUGAAAAUAUUACCUGAUAGCAUGAUGACCCAAGUUACCAAGGCCAAGAACUUUACUGAUGAACUUUAUGACUCCUUCAAGAAUGCCAAAGUUUUCAACGACUUGCCAUCCUCAUUACUAACCCAGGCUAAGGAUGGACUAAAUCAAGUAUCUGAUAUGAUGAUGAGCGUUACUGAGUAUGCUGUCAACAGCAGAGCAUUGCAGUGGCUGGUCCCAAGUAAGGUGAAACAAGCCCUCACUUCAGGGGGUUAUGAUGUCAUUUUGGAAAGCAUCCCACCCAAUCCUGAUGAUGCCCUUGACAGCGAUGAUGAGGAUGAUGAGGACGACGAUGAGGACGACGAUGAUGAUGAAAUUGACAUUGAUGAUGAAUUUCAUACCAAUGAAGUGGUGAUGUCGCAAUGACAAUCACGAUGCGAAGCCAAAUCAUUGUUAUCCCAGUAUCUUGAAUACCUUUUUCGUAUUAUCAAUAGAUCCCAAGAUUUUAGUAUGCACGCUAGAGUGAGAGUGGACCUGAAUGACGAGAGGAUUGAGUUGGCUAUAGGUACCAGAUGUACAGUUUGAUCGCCUAGAUUUUGAGUUUACUGGUGAUGACUCUGACAAUGAAGGCGAUGUUGCUGACAUUAACAGUUCAAAUUCAGGCUUGGAUGUGGAUUACUUUGACAGCAAUGGAGAAUUUUAACACCUUUGUUGUUGGAUGCUUUGUAUUUCCGACUUUGCUAUGUAGGAAUCUAGCAUAACAACCUCUGCAUAUAAUUUUAAGCUGUAAAGUCUUUUAAGAUGGUGGUGGUGCAUGCAACUAACAAAAUUCUUAAAUUUUCAAUUCCGACUCUGAAACUUGUACUGCAAUUUUACUUAAAAUGUUUCUGAAAACACAACUUUUAAAUUGUCAGUUAUCGCUCAACUGUUAUUAGCAUUUGUUUAAAUGAUAUCUAGUCAUCUCUUUACAAGUUUUCACACAUCUAUGGCUUUGCAUUCCAUAUAUACUGUAAUCAGAGACUGUUUUUAUUAGAUGCAUGUAUUACUGGAUUCCUGUUUUUGUCUGAUAAAGUGUAGACCAAACAUGUAUGCAUGAUUUUAAAUAAUUUUUUCUUUUAGGAAUUACAAACAAUAUAUGCCCUCUAAAAAAAAAAGCCAGAUUACUCUACUACUAAGAUUAGCUUCCUAGUAAUUCUGAUUGAAAUUGGUAAUUUUCUGCUAUUGUUGAGUCUGUAAAACUUUUGAUUUGUAGUGUCACUUGUGGUAAUAAAGGUUACUUACUGCAAA
rnacentral:misc_RNA from 1 species